AGUGGCGGACGGGUGAGUAACGCGUGAGAAUCUGCCCUUUGGAUGGGGAUAACGACUGGAAACGGUCGCUAAUACCCAAUAUGCCGAGAGGUGAAACUUAUAUGGCCAGAGGAUGAGCUCGCGUCUGAUUAGCUAGUUGGAGUGGUAACGGCACACCAAGGCGACGAUCAGUAGCUGGUCUGAGAGGAUGAUCAGCCACACUGGGACUGAGACACGGCCCAGACUCCUACGGGAGGCAGCAGUGGGGAAUUUUCCGCAAUGGGCGAAAGCCUGACGGAGCAAGACCGCGUGAGGGAGGAAGGCCUACUGGUUGUAAACCUCUUUUGAUAGGGAAGAAGAAAGUGACGGUACCUAUCGAAUCAGCAUCGGCUAACUCCGUGCCAGCAGCCGCGGUAAUACGGAGGAUGCAAGCGUUAUCCGGAAUCAUUGGGCGUAAAGCGUCCGUAGGUGGUUAUUCAAGUCAGCUGUCAAAGGAUGGAGCUUAACUCCAUAAAGGCAGUUGAAACUGUGUAGCUAGAGUGCGAUAGGGGCAAGGGGAAUUCCCAGUGUAGCGGUGAAAUGCGUAGAUAUUGGGAAGAACAUCGGUGGCGAAAGCGCCUUGCUGGGUCUGCACUGACACUGAGGGACGAAAGCUAGGGGAGCGAAAGGGAUUAGAUACCCCUGUAGUCUUAGCUGUAAACGAUGGAUACUAGGCGUUG
rnacentral:rRNA from 1 species